AGCUAGCACAGGUGCUGCAUGGCUGUCGUCAGCUCGUGUCGUGAGAUGUUCGGUUAAGUCCGCUAACGAGCGCAACCCUUGCUGUGUGUUACAUGUGUCACACGGGACUGCCGGUCUUAAACCGGAGGAAGGUGGGAUGACGUCAAGUCAGCAUGGCCUUUAUGUCCUGGGCUACACACACGCUACAAUGGCCGGUACAAUAGGUUGCGAAGCCGCGAGGCGGAGCCAAUCCUCAAAGCCGGCCUCAGUUCAGAUUGCAGGCUGCAACCCGCCUGCAUGAAGAUGGAGUUGCUAGUAACCGCAGGUCAGCUAUACUGCGGUGAAUACGUUCCCGGGGCUU
rnacentral:rRNA from 1 species